rnacentral:lncRNA from 1 species
AACGACAAAAGAAAACUAUUGAAGAUGCCACCGACCGACAAAAGACACUAUAUAAAAUACCUUUGCUUUUUACUUUUUGCUUUUUGUCAGGUCUAGCUUUUCUUUACGCCUCUUUCCUAAUUUAUGUCACAUCUGCUUUUACUCGUAUCCCUUCUUUUUUAUUCGAGCGAAUCUUCCACCUCAGCUCAAUCUCGUCUAUCUCGACUUUAUGUCACCUCUCUGUUCUUUGAGCCUUAUGGAAUCAUCCACCUUGGUUGUUCCGCUCUUCUAUAAAAGCCCCUCAGAACAUUCAUUCGAGGCAGGUCGAAAUCUCCAUCUCUGCGAUCUCUUCUCUAUAAUCUCUUCUCUCUUCUCUAUUUACUCAACACAUUCUCCUGAAAGCUCUG